rnacentral:rRNA from 1 species
UUAAGUUAUUAAGGGCGCACGGUGGAUGCCUUGGCACUAGAAGCCGAUGAAGGACGUUACUAACGACGAUAUGCUUUGGGGAGCUGUAAGUAAGCUUUGAUCCAGAGAUUUCCGAAUGGGGAAACCCAGCAUGAGUUAUGUCAUGUUAUCGAUAUGUGAAUACAUAGCAUAUCAGAAGGCACACCCGGAGAACUGAAACAUCUUAGUACCCGGAGGAAGAGAAAGAAAAUUCGAUUCCCUUAGUAGCGGCGAGCGAAACGGGAAGAGCCCAAACCAACAAGCUUGCUUGUUGGGGUUGUAGGACACUCUGUACGGAGUUACAAAGGACGACAUUAGACGAAUCAUCUGGAAAGAUGAAUCAAAGAAGGUAAUAAUCCUGUAGUCGAAAAUGUUGUCUCUCUUGAGUGGAUCCUGAGUACGACGGAGCACGUGAAAUUCCGUCGGAAUCUGGGAGGACCAUCUCCUAAGGCUAAAUACUCUCUAGUGACCGAUAGUGAACCAGUACCGUGAGGGAAAGGUGAAAAGCACCCCGGAAGGGGAGUGAAAUAGAACCUGAAACCGUGUGCUUACAAGUAGUCAGAGCCCGUUAAUGGGUGAUGGCGUGCCUUUUGUAGAAUGAACCGGCGAGUUACGAUUUGAUGCAAGGUUAAGCAGUAAAUGUGGAGCCGUAGCGAAAGCGAGUCUGAAUAGGGCGUUUAGUAUUUGGUCGUAGACCCGAAACCAGGUGAUCUACCCUUGGUCAGGUUGAAGUUCAGGUAACACUGAAUGGAGGACCGAACCGACUUACGUUGAAAAGUGAGCGGAUGAACUGAGGGUAGCGGAGAAAUUCCAAUCGAACCUGGAGAUAGCUGGUUCUCUCCGAAAUAGCUUUAGGGCUAGCCUCAAGUGAUGAUUAUUGGAGGUAGAGCACUGUUUGGACGAGGGGCCCCUCUCGGGUUACCGAAUUCAGACAAACUCCGAAUGCCAAUUAAUUUAACUUGGGAGUCAGAACAUGGGUGAUAAGGUCCGUGUUCGAAAGGGAAACAGCCCAGACCACCAGCUAAGGUCCCAAAAUAUAUGUUAAGUGGAAAAGGAUGUGGCGUUGCCCAGACAACUAGGAUGUUGGCUUAGAAGCAGCCAUCAUUUAAAGAGUGCGUAAUAGCUCACUAGUCGAGUGACACUGCGCCGAAAAUGUACCGGGGCUAAACAUAUUACCGAAGCUGUGGAUUGUCCUUUGGACAAUGGUAGGAGAGCGUUCUAAGGGCGUUGAAGCAUGAUCGUAAGGACAUGUGGAGCGCUUAGAAGUGAGAAUGCCGGUGUGAGUAGCGAAAGACGGGUGAGAAUCCCGUCCACCGAUUGACUAAGGUUUCCAGAGGAAGGCUCGUCCGCUCUGGGUUAGUCGGGUCCUAAGCUGAGGCCGACAGGCGUAGGCGAUGGAUAACAGGUUGAUAUUCCUGUACCACCUAUAAUCGUUUUAAUCGAUGGGGGGACGCAGUAGGAUAGGCGAAGCGUGCGAUUGGAUUGCACGUCUAAGCAGUAAGGCUGAGUAUUAGGCAAAUCCGGUACUCGUUAAGGCUGAGCUGUGAUGGGGAGAAGACAUUGAGUCUUCGAGUCGUUGAUUUCACACUGCCGAGAAAAGCCUCUAGAUAGAAAAUAGGUGCCCGUACCGCAAACCGACACAGGUAGUCAAGAUGAGAAUUCUAAGGUGAGCGAGCGAACUCUCGUUAAGGAACUCGGCAAAAUGACCCCGUAACUUCGGGAGAAGGGGUGCUCUUUAGGGUUAACGCCCAGAAGAGCCGCAGUGAAUAGGCCCAAGCGACUGUUUAUCAAAAACACAGGUCUCUGCUAAACCGUAAGGUGAUGUAUAGGGGCUGACGCCUGCCCGGUGCUGGAAGGUUAAGAGGAGUGGUUAGCUUCUGCGAAGCUACGAAUCGAAGCCCCAGUAAACGGCGGCCGUAACUAUAACGGUCCUAAGGUAGCGAAAUUCCUUGUCGGGUAAGUUCCGACCCGCACGAAAGGCGUAACGAUUUGGGCACUGUCUCAACGAGAGACUCGGUGAAAUCAUAGUACCUGUGAAGAUGCAGGUUACCCGCGACAGGACGGAAAGACCCCGUGGAGCUUUACUGUAGCCUGAUAUUGAAAUUCGGCACAGCUUGUACAGGAUAGGUAGGAGCCUUUGAAACGUGAGCGCUAGCUUACGUGGAGGCGCUGGUGGGAUACUACCCUAGCUGUGUUGGCUUUCUAACCCGCACCACUUAUCGUGGUGGGAGACAGUGUCANGCGGGCAGUUUGACUGGGGCGGUCGCCUCCUAAAAGGUAACGGAGGCGCUCAAAGGUUCCCUCAGAAUGGUUGGAAAUCAUUCAUAGAGUGUAAAGGCAUAAGGGAGCUUGACUGCGAGACCUACAAGUCGAGCAGGGUCGAAAGACGGACUUAGUGAUCCGGUGGUUCCGCAUGGAAGGGCCAUCGCUCAACGGAUAAAAGCUACCCCGGGGAUAACAGGCUUAUCUCCCCCAAGAGUUCACAUCGACGGGGAGGUUUGGCACCUCGAUGUCGGCUCAUCGCAUCCUGGGGCUGUAGUCGGUCCCAAGGGUUGGGCUGUUCGCCCAUUAAAGCGGUACGCGAGCUGGGUUCAGAACGUCGUGAGACAGUUCGGUCCCUAUCCGUCGUGGGCGUAGGAAAUUUGAGAGGAGCUGUCCUUAGUACGAGAGGACCGGGAUGGACAUACCUCUGGUGUACCAGUUGUCGUGCCAACGGCAUAGCUGGGUAGCUAUGUGUGGACGGGAUAAGUGCUGAAAGCAUCUAAGCAUGAAGCCCCCCUCAAGAUGAGAUUUCCCAACUUCGGUUAUAAGAUCCCUCAAAGAUGAUGAGGUUAAUAGGUUCGAGGUGGAAGCAUGGUGACAUGUGGAGCUGACGAAUACUAAUCGAUCGAAGACUUAAUCAA